rnacentral:misc_RNA from 1 species
UUGAUUCGUUUGUGUGUCUUCUGAGAUGCCGACAUAGUAGUGCAGAGUAGUGGGCCGCCGGCGGGCUCCGUCCGGAGGCCCGCCGAGGCAACGAAGAGGUAGGUUCACGGUGGUUGUACGGGAUUCUUGCGAAGUCCUGUAAUGAUCCCUCCGCUGGUUCACCAACGGAGA